rnacentral:lncRNA from 1 species
AAAAACUUAAAAAACAAACCCUAAUAGUGUAGAUUUAGGUUUGUGAACACUAAACCGACCAAAACCCCCCUCAAAAAAUUAAAAAUAAAAUAUGCAUGUAAGCAUCGCAACAACGACAACAAAUAAUAAAAGACAAGAAUAAGCAAACCAACCUACGUGAGCGUGAAUCAUCCCGGUAAAUAAAGAUAAUAUCGUUGUCUUUUCUUUCUACCCUUUUUAUAUGUAUUUUUAUAUGUUGC